rnacentral:tRNA from 11 species
GUGGCCUCGUGGUUGAGACAACCGCCUGGUAACCCACGGGUCGCAGGUUCAAACCCGGUAGUC